GAUCUCUGACCUGCGUUCUUAGCUGGGACGUCGAGUUCUCCCAGGAUAAUUAUCGACCAGGUUUGUAACUGUCCGUGGCAGAAGGCGGGCGGGGACGGAAAGCAACGAAAAUAGUCUGGGCAUUACGCUCUAAAUAGAGGUGCACAUCUCCUGGGGAAAAGUUGCGAGCGCCGGUACCUCACGUUUGUUUAGCUAUAGACACUUUUCAAAGCAUUUCACCGCCUUGUCACAACCCUGUGAAGCCA
rnacentral:lncRNA from 1 species